rnacentral:misc_RNA from 1 species
AGAAAAUAGGAAGAACUUCAAGAAUAGGGUGUUUAAGUAUAAUCUGGAGUUUCAAGAAACAAAGAAAAGCAAGAAAGAAUAGAGAUCUGAUACUUGGAAAGCAAAAAUUUUGAGAAAGACAAGAUUUCAAGAAAUUGAAGAAAGAAAAUGCAAAUUCCCAACAAAACAGUAAUUUCAGCGUUUGUAUCUUGAAGAAAAGAGCCGAUGGAAAGAAGAAAGGGGAAAGAAAAAAAGGAAGAAGAAAUAGAGGGAAGA